CUCAACUGACACUAUUAAUGGCAACAAGCUUUUCCACUACAGAAGUGGCAAUGGCUGUAUUAUUCAUAAGCUAUAUACACCCAAAUGUUCUUGAUAAGAUUUUGGUUUAUUUUCCCAUGUAUCAUUUAUUUGUAAGAUAAAAUUUUAUGUAUUUAUUUUUGUCAGACAAACAAUCUUAACUAGCAUUUUCUAUUCUUCUUUCUGCUGACCACUAUGUAGGGACCAGUAAAAAGAAGCUGCAGGACUCUUGACCAGGCACUGCUCCUCCACUCACUACUCUGCUUAGCAGUACCUCUUCACAGAUAUGGCUGAACCUCAGCCCCACCCUCCAGACUCUCCACUCAGAAUGAGGAGCCACAAUUAUCUCAUACCAGACAACUCCUGUGAAGUACUGGUACUGCUAUCCAGUCUGUCUAGCACCUCAGUCAUCUGAUUAUUUGUCAAUUGCUCUAUAAAAAAGGGAGAGCAAUGUCAUGAUGGAGUCUCUUCCUUGGAAUGCAGACAUACGUUACGCAUCUUAGAGAAAACUCUCGUGUGAGGACUGUGUGAUGCUACUGAAAAUCAAAAGGCCUGUGGUUUCUAUUCUUAUGAAACCUUGGCUGCAGAGUUCCUCAAUAAAGUGUAUUCCUGUUCUUCAA